AUCCCUUGACAUCCUGCGAACUUUCUAGAGAUAGAUUGGUGCCUUCGGGAACGCAGUGACAGGUGCUGCAUGGCUGUCGUCAGCUCGUGUCGUGAGAUGUUGGGUUAAGUCCCGCAACGAGCGCAACCCUUAUCAUUAGUUGCUAACAUUUAGUUGAGAACUCUAAUGAGACUGCCGGUGAUAAACCGGAGGAAGGCGGGGACGACGUCAAGUCAUCAUGGCCCUUAUGGGAUGGGCUACACACGUGCUACAAUGGGGGGUACAAAGAGCAGCCAACUGGCGACAGUGCGCGAAUCUCAUAAAACCUCUCGUAGUCCGGAUCGGAGUCUGCAACUCGACUCCGUGAAGUCGGAAUCGCUAGUAAUCGUGAAUCAGAAUGUCACGGUGAAUACGUUCCCGGGCCU
rnacentral:rRNA from 1 species